UAGAGUUUGAUCAUGGCUCAGAUUGAACGCUGGCGGCAGGCCUAACACAUGCAAGUCGAGCGGAAACGACACUAACAAUCCUUCGGGUGCGUUAAUGUGCGUCGAGCGGCGGACGGGUGAGUAAUGCCUAGGAAAUUGCCUUGAUGUGGGGGAUAACCAUUGGAAACGAUGGCUAAUACCGCAUAAUGCCUACGGGCCAAAGAGGGGGAUCUUCGGACCUUUCGCGUCAAGAUAUGCCUAGGUGGGAUUAGCUAGUUGGUGAGGUAAUGGCUCACCAAGGCGACGAUCCCUAGCUGGUCUGAGAGGAUGAUCAGCCACACCGGAACUGAGACACGGUCCAGACUCCUACGGGAGGCAGCAGUGGGGAAUAUUGCACAAUGGGCGAAAGCCUGAUGCAGCCAUGCCGCGUGUAUGAAGAAGGCCUUCGGGUUGUAAAGUACUUACAGUUGUGAGGAAGGGGGUAACGUUAAUAGCGUUACCUCUUGACGUUAGCAACAGAAGAAGCACCGGCUAACUCCGUGCCAGCAGCCGCGGUAAUACGGAGGGUGCGAGCGUUAAUCGGAAUUACUGGGCGUAAAGCGCAUGCAGGUGGUUCAUUAAGUCAGAUGUGAAAGCCCGGGGCUCAACCUCGGAACUGCAUUUGAAACUGGUGAACUAGAGUGCUGUAGAGGGGGGUAGAAUUUCA
rnacentral:rRNA from 1 species